UAGUAACUGCGAGUGAAGUGGGAAAAGCUCAAAUUUAAAAUCUGAUGGUCUUUGGCCGUCCGAGUUGUAAUUUAGAGAAGCGUCUUCCGCGCUGGACCGUGCACAAGUCUCCUGGAAUGGAGCGUCAUAGAGGGUGAGAAUCCCGUCUUUGGCACGGACACACCAGGGCUUUUGUGAUGCGCUCUCGAAGAGUCGAGUUGUUUGGGAAUGCAGCUCAAAAUGGGUGGUGAACUCCAUCUAAAGCUAAAUAUUGGCGAGAGACCGAUAGCGAACAAGUACCGUGAGGGAAAGAUGAAAAGCACUUUGGAAAGAGAGUGAAACAGUACGUGAAAUUGUUGAAAGGGAAACGCUUGAAGUCAGUCGCGUCGACCGAGACUCAGCCUUGCCUUGGCUUGGUGUACUUCUCGGCUGACGGGUCAGCAUCAAUUUUGCCCCUUGGAUAAUGGCGAGGGAAAUGUGACACCUUUGCGGUGUGUUAUAGUCCCUCGUCGCAUGCAAGGGUUGGGAUUGAGGAACUCAGCACGCGCCUUUGGGCGUCGGGGCUUUGCCCACGAUACGUGCUUAGGAUGUUGGCGUAAUGGCUUUAAACGACCCGUCUUGAAACACGGACCAAGGAGUCUAACAUGCCUGCGAGUGUUCGGGUGGAAAACCCGUGCGCGCAAUGAAAGUGAAAGUUGGGACCUCUGUCGUGGAGGGCACCGACGCCCGGACCAGACCUUCUGUGACGGCUCUGCGGUAGAGCAUGUAUGUUAGGACCCGAAAGAUGGUGAACUAUGCCUGAAUAGGGUGAAGCCAGAGGAAACUCUGGUGGAGGCUCGUAGCGAUUCUGACGUGCAAAUCGAUCGUCAAAUUUGGGUAUAGGGGCGAAAGACUAAUCGAACCAUCUAGUAGCU
rnacentral:rRNA from 1 species